rnacentral:lncRNA from 1 species
UGCGUGAAACUAGAAUCAAGGAUAUGGUUAUGUUCUCACUUGAGGAGAUUCAAAGAUCUUCCAGCAGUGGAAAGUAUUGCUUUUGGGUAAAUUUUGGGCAAAAGAUUUCUGGUUGAUUUUGUCCACCAUAAAAAAUGCAAUAGGUAGAAUAUUGAGGGAGAUCUGCAUGUUUCUUCCCUUAUUUAGGGGUUGGUGCUCCUCAAUUUUCCCUCAGAGGA